CCAGGAGAGCUGGCAACGCCCCGGGCCUCGGCGACAGUGGGAACCGGCGAUCGCCUCCCCCCUCCUUAGCCAAGCAGAAGCAGAAGCAGACACAGCACAUCCCACCCUACGACGUUGUCCCCUCCAUGCGGCCCGUGGUGCUGGUGGGGCCCUCGCUGAAAGGAUA